AGAGACCCUUCAUUAACUACAGAGAUUGAGACUGAGAUUGAGCCAAGAAAGAAUAAGGAUGAUACAGAUAUGAGGGAAUUGAUAUAUUACAUCAGGGAUUGAGAUGGCAAGAUUUCAUUUUGAUGUUUCAAAAGCCACCAUGGACCUUGUCAUUUUGGUAGCCAUGUUGGUCCUCUACUUCUGCAUAUCCACAGUCAAAGUUGAACGCGUCUUGCUUCUGCAGAAGUGGAAGCACUAAAAGAAAUAGCAACACAAGUGGGAAAAAAAGACUGGAACUUCAGCAUAGAUCCAUGCAGCAAUGAUACAAAUUGGGCUACCCCAAAAUCUGCUGACUUGCCUUUAUACAACAACACUCUCAUAUGCAACUGCUCCUACCCUGAUGGUUUCUGCCAUGUUGUCAGCAUUUUUCUUAAAGGGCAAGAUCUUGCUGGUGUAGUUCCACUAUCUGCUGCAAAGUUACCCUACCUAACAAGAGUGUCCAUUACUGUGAACAAUUUAUCAGGACCAAUCCCUGGCUACUUGGGAAACAUAAGCACCAUAAUAUAUAUGUAUGCUCUGGCUCUAUCUGAUCUCUUUGCCACCUCAUAUUAUUUGUCAAAAUCAAUUUUAGGGUUAAUUACAGAUUAAUACCCUGUACUUACAACGUUAAGGCAUGUUAGU